CCUACGGGAGGCAGCAGUGAGGAAUAUUGGUCAAUGGACGCAAGUCUGAACCAGCCAUGCCGCGUGCAGGAAGACGGCUCUAUGAGUUGUAAACUGCUUUUGUACGAGGGUAAACGCAGAUACGUGUAUCUGUCUGAAAGUAUCGUACGAAUAAGGAUCGGCUAACUCCGUGCCAGCAGCCGCGGUAAUACGGAGGAUUCAAGCGUUAUCCGGAUUUAUUGGGUUUAAAGGGUGCGUAGGCGGUAGGAUAAGUUAGAGGUGAAAUCCCGAGGCUCAACUUCGGACUUGCCUCUGGUACUGGUCGGCUAGAGAGUAGGUGCGGUAGGCGGAAUGUAUGGUGUAGCGGUGAAAUGCUUAGAGAUGAUAAAGAACACCGAUUGCGAAGGCAGCUUACUAAGCUACUUCUGACGUUGAGGCACGAAAGCGCGGGGAGCAAACAGGAUUAGAUACCCUAGUAGUC
rnacentral:rRNA from 1 species